CCCUUAGAUGUUCUGGGCUGCACGCGCGCUACACUGACACACUCAGCGAGUCACCUGAUCUGAGAAGACCGGGCAAUCAUGUGAGCGUGUGUCGUGAUGGGGAUAGAAUAUUGUAAUUAUUACUCUUCAACGAGGAAUUCCUAGUAAGCGCGAGUCAGCAGCUCGCGCUGAUUACGUCCCUGCCCUUUGUACACACCGCCCGUCGCUACUACCGAUUGAACGGUUUAGUGAGGGCCUCGGAUUGGUCUCGGCCCGCUCUUUACCGGGCGGCGCCGUUGGUCGAGAAGACGCUCGAACUUGAUCGUUUAGAGGAAGUAAAAGUCGUAACA
rnacentral:rRNA from 1 species